rnacentral:rRNA from 1 species
AAUUCGAUUGUUUGAUCAUGGCUCAGGACGAACGCUGGCGGCGUGCUUAACACAUGCAAGUGGAGCGACGAACCAGGCUUCGGCCUGGGGCAAAGCCGCGAACGGGUGAGUAACACGUGGGUAACCUGCCCUGAUGAUCGGGACAACCCGGGGAAACCCGGGCUAAUACCGAAUGUGCCCGCGAGCCACAAGGCUCGCGCGGAAAGGAAGCUUUGGCCUCCGCAUCGGGAUGGGCCCGCGGCCCAUUAGCUUGUUGGUGGGGUAAUGGCCUACCAAGGCAGCAAUGGGUAGCUGGUCUGAGAGGACGAUCAGCCACACUGGGACUGAGACACGGCCCAGACUCCUACGGGAGGCAGCAGUGGGGAAUCUUGCGCAAUGCGCGAAAGCGUGACGCAGCAACGCCGCGUGGGGGAAGACGGCCUUCGGGUUGUAAACCCCUUUCAGUUGGGACGAAGCUUCGUCGGUGAAUAGCCGGCUGGAGUGACGGUACCUUCAGAAGAAGCCCCGGCUAACUACGUGCCAGCAGCCGCGGUAAUACGUAGGGGGCAAGCGUUGUCCGGAAUCAUUGGGCGUAAAGAGCGUGUAGGCGGCCCGAUAAGUCCGCCGUGAAAGUCCAGGGCUCAACCCUGGAAUGCCGGUGGAUACUGUCGGGCUAGAGUCCGGAAGGGGCGAGUGGAAUUCCUGGUGUAGCGGUGAAAUGCGCAGAU